rnacentral:lncRNA from 1 species
UUGGAAUAUAAAGGUGAAUAGGAUAUAGUUUCUGUCAUUGAGUGGCUUAUGGUCUAACAUAGUAGACAGGCAAGUAAAAAGAAAUUAUAAUACAAUAAGUGCUAUAAUAAUUAUUAAGUUCUCCAUGCUAUGAUAAGAUAAGGAAAGACAACUAAUCUAGACUUGUGGGAGUUGGAAAAGAUUUUCCAGUUCAUAUUAAUUCCAAGUUAAUAACUUCUUAUGUUGUACACUAUUUUAGUCAUAAGGUUUUCUGAAUCUUUGAGAAGAUAAAAUGAAACCAAUUUUAAUCUAUUUUUGGACAGCAUAAAACUCUGGUGGAACCACAUUUACCUGGCACAUCUCUUCUUUAAUGUAUAGAAAAUUAUGGAUACCCCAGUUUGGAUAUGGAAUUCCUUUUAGAGUCAGAAGGAUUUAAAGAAAACCAGUCAGUAUGGAGUCAAGCACACUCGUCUUCCUAUCAUCUCCUCAGAUCAGCACUGGUGAUGUGCUUUCUUUUUACUGAUGUUUUAUGCACCCAAGGUUCACAGAAAACCCUGGCCUAUUAAUAUGAUUCACGAUGAGAACAAAUGCAUUGCGAAAUAAUCUGUUCAUAAUACUCAGUUAUUCUGUGGCAGAGCUCUUCCCAAAAUAUAUUUUUUAUUCAUUUGAAAAGCCUCUUACCUCCAGAAAUCAUUAGAAGAGAGAGAAAUUGUAAGCUUUGGCAGCUUGUGGUGGAUUUCUGAGGCGACCUGAUUUUCUUGCAAAUUUUGCUUUGUGGUGAGCUGGCAGGAAGGUGGAAGAAUAUUUUCAUAUUCACAAAUAUGUCCUAGGUGACAUAAAGCUCUGAGGACUCUUCUGGCUUCUAUUGUCUGACAAGUCAUCUUAGAAGUUCAUUGCUUAACCGUUUUUUACUGUAAGACUAUGUGCUUUCCACACUAGAACAACCAAUAUGAAAUAACAAUUAUCAGUGAAACAGGCAUCCGUAUUACUUCUACUUGGUAUUACCUAGGCAAUCAUUGUUCUCAUUAAGAGACUCUUUUGCCCCUCUAGGGGUAGUUGGAUUGGGUGUUAACAGAAAAAUAAUUUGCAAACUUGACUCCCAAUUUUAUUAUCAAUGACUCCUAAUAUGAAACUGAAAUAUGGGUACCCUAACCUCCACUCAUCAUAACCUCAGUCUAUUUAUCAUCUUAUUUUUACUCAUAUAUCUUACCUGAUAAAGGAAGCCAUUAGCUGCAAGAUUCCUAUCCUGAAAAUUAGCAGUGAUAACUUUACUCUUUUUAGGUGCUCAUAUUUGUAUAAAAAGCAUAGAUAUUAAACAUAUAUGUAAGACACAAUUUAAAUGUAUUGAUGUCUUAUACACACACACAUACCCACAUUUAUAUUCCACCCAAUCAAUAAAUUGCAUUCCAGUUGAUCAAUAAAUUACAAGAAAAAGUCAUUAUUAUAAACUAUAGCACAGAAUUCUAAUGGGUGAAGAAGGAGCAGCAUGUUUAGUGGAAACCCAAAGGUUAUAUGUACAUAUCUAUAGUUGCCAGGCCGCCACUACCUCUUGUAUUCAGAUGCAUACAUUAUUUCACCGUGUACAUUUCCCUGGUAAUUCCAGAGGUUUUGUUGACAUAUCUUUCAAAGCAAAAUUCAGGCACAUAUUUGUUUCCAUUGCUCAAAGAAAACCCCCUUAAAAGACAGAUUGUGUGGUGCCAUUGGCUAAGCAGCUUGGAAGAUGCAGUUCUUGCAAAUAUCUAUUAGUUACAUCUGCCAGAUCUGUAGAAGAAAACAAUUCUCCAUCCUGAGUCACCCAGGUGAUAACAUAAGAGGAAUUGUUACCUGGGUGUUUUUCUCCUGUAUGACUCAGAAAGGAGAUUUACUUUUUUUUCCAUCAAAAUUAACCCUCAUUUCUUAUUGUCUGAUAUUAUCUAAUCAUUGUUAAGGUGUAAAUCACCAGAAGGGUGCUGAAACAGUUACAUUUCUCAUACUUCUUAGUACAGUUUAAUCUUAGCUGAUCCUCAAAGGAUCUCUAAAUGAUGACAUUUUAGAUAUGAUGGAAAGCCAGUGGAAAAUGUAUUUGCCAGGAGUACCUUUGUUUUAGAUGAAGUUGUUGAGAUAACUAUCGUUUCCAUUGAUUUGCAAGGCUUUUCCUCCAUACCUGGUCAACAAUAAGAUUAUAUCUAAUCAUUCUGUCACUAUCAUUGUUUCUUUCUAAUAUUGAACUAGAUGUCCUGGGUAGUAUAGUAAAAAGUUAAGUAAACAAACAAUAAUUGGAGAUUCCAUUUACAACAACAACCAAAAUAUUAGGUACUUUGAAAUGUAUCUACAAAAGAUGGGAAAGAUCUUUAUUGAUAUGAAUUAUAAAUUUUAUGAAAGAUUUAGAGAAGACAUGAAUAAAUGAAUAGACACAUUUUGUUCCUGAGAGAAAAACUCAAAGGUCAUUUUUCUCCAGGUUUUUCUAAAGAGUCAUUGUAAUUUCAAUCAAAAUUUCAAUAGGAGUUUUUGUGGACUUUCGCAAGCUGCUUCUAAAUACAUAAAAUAUCAAAGGGCCAAACAGAGACAAAGUUGUUUGAAGAAGAGAAGUUCUGUGAAGAGUGAAGAGUGUGGUUAAAACAGCUAACAAAUCUUAUCAUAAAGCUAAAUAAUUAAGUCAGUGUCAUAUUUGUGCAGAGCUGGAUAACUGGACACUCGAAGAGGAUAGAGAACUCAGAAACAGCAAGUAUAUAUGAAUGAAACAGCCACAGAAUAAAAGAUACUAAAGCAUAUUGGCUUUCCUCUUAGGAAACAAAAAUGCAUCCAUAUUUCACACUAAGCAUGAACAUUGAUUCCAGGUAUAUUAAAUACUUAAAUGUAAAAAACAAGUCUUUUAAAACUUUAGAAGAAUGUUUAGAAAAAUAUAGGAGGUAUUUUCUUAAGCAUGAUGUAAAAAGCACAAACCAUAAAGAAGAAACCUCUUCUCUUUACUAAAAAUCACUAUGAAGAGAGUACAAAGACAAGUCACAAACUGAGAGAAUGAAUAUCUAUAACAUGUAUAACUAAAAAUCCAUCACCUCUUGAAUCAGUAAAAACCAUAAUAACUCUAUAGAAAAUGAACAAAAAGAUAAGUAAAUAUUUCAUAGAAGCUCAAAUCACUAAUAAACAUAAAAGGUGCUCAAACUCAUAACUAACCAGAGAAAUGCAAACAAACUAAAACCACAGUCAGAUGCUAUUUUACAUACACGAGAAAGACAAGAAUGAAAAUGUUUGACAAUCCUAAAUAUUGAAGAGAAUAUGGAACAACAAGAUUUCUCACAAAUGGCCAAUGAAAGUAUAAAUUAACACCAUCAAUUAGGCACUUUGGCAUCACAUAGAACAUACUCUAGGAUUCUUGUUUACACUCAAAAGUAAGACCCCGACAGCAAACCACACACAUGUUCAUGGCAUCAUUUUUAUAUCCAUUCAAAUAUCAAUUAGCAAAAGAAUGAAAUAAUAAAAUGAGAUACAUGCAUAAAUACACAACUAAAAUGAGGCAUAUGCAGUGAAAAUAGCAAAACUAUUGUUAUAAGAAAUAGCCUGGAUGAAUGUCAGAAACAUAAAAAUGAGUAAGGAAAACAAGUUAAAGAAUACACAAAUUACAGUACCAUUUAUAUACAAAACUAAAAAUGUAAAAGUAAAGGAUAGAGAGUCAAUAUUCUACACAAUUUUAGCAAAACUGUAAUGACAGUGAAGGUCAUGAUAAAGACAAAGAUAGGAAGUAUGAAACUCCUGGGAAGGAGAGUGAUGAAAUCAGAAAGUGGAACACAGAUAACCAUGUGAUACCAUUCUACUCUGUAAACCAGGCAGUGGGCACAUAGGUGUUAAUUUUAGUACAGUUUUUUUUUCUAAUUGCACAUGUCAUGUAUACUGAUUUAUGUGUAUUAAGUGUUUCGUCAUAAUAAAAGCUUUAAAAUUCUACUAUUCUAAGGGACCACUUCAAAACAUUUAGACCACAUGUACGGCAUUGAAUUCUCUUUAGCACACCUAUGUGAUUCAUCAGUCUACUUUCCUUCCUUGUUGGAGGUUAUAAUGAUGCAUUUGGAAACAAACUUGGUGUUUAUUCUGUUUUUGUUUUCAUGAGUGAUUUACUUUGUGCAUUACUUAAAUUUAGUUUACUGAACUGUGAGAGGUUUUUUUAUUUUCAAAAUUAUACAUUAUUGACAAUAUUCAGUGCUGAUAAUAUUCUUAUUCAGUUUAUGUUUUGUUACCAGUGUUGUAGUUUUCCACUGUCUUAAAUAAAUUUUCUAAAGAGAAAG